AUACGUAGGGAGCGAGCGUUGUCCGGAAUUACUGGGGGUAAAGGGAGCGUAGGCGGGAGUGCAAGUCAGAUGUGAAAUACAUGGGCUCAACCCAUGGGCUGCAUUUGAAACUGCAUUUCUUGAGUGAAGUAGAGGUAAGCGGAAUUCCUGGAGUAGCGGUGAAAUGCGUAGAUCUCAGGAGGAACACCGGUGGCGAAGGCGGCUUACUGGGCUUUUACUGACGCUGAGGCUCGAAAGCGUGGGGAGCAAACAGGAUUAGAUACCCUGGUAGUCCACGCUGUAAACGAUGAUUACUAGGUGUGGGGGGACUGACCCCUUCCGUGCCGCAGUUAACACAAUAAGUAAUCCACCUGGGGAGUACGGCCGCAAGGUUGAAACUCAAAUGAAUUGACGGGG
rnacentral:rRNA from 1 species